rnacentral:rRNA from 1 species
GGGUUGUGAGGUUAAGCGACUAAGCGUACACGGUGGAUGCCCUGGCAGUCAGAGGCGAUGAAGGACGUGCUAAUCUGCGAAAAGCGUCGGUAAGGUGAUAUGAACCGUUAUAGCCGGCGAUGUCCGAAUGGGGAAACCCAGUGCAAUUCGUUGCACUAUCGUUAACUGAAUACAUAGGUUAACGAGGCGAACCGGGGGAACUGAAACAUCUAAGUACCCCGAGGAAAAGAAAUCAACCGAGAUUCCCCCAGUAGCGGCGAGCGAACGGGGAGCAGCCCAGAGUCUGAAUCAGCUUGUGUGUUAGUGGAACGGUCUGGAAAGUCCGACGGUACAGGGUGAUAGUCCCGUACACCAAAAUGCACAGGUUGUGAACUCGAAGAGUAGGGCGGGACACGUGGUAUCCUGUCUGAAUAUGGGGGGACCAUCCUCCAAGGCUAAAUACUCCUGACUGACCGAUAGUGAACCAGUACCGUGAGGGAAAGGCGAAAAGAACCCCGGCGAGGGGAGUGAAAAAGAACCUGAAACCGUGUACGUACAAGCAGUGGGAGCACCUUCGGGUGUGACUGCGUACCUUUUGUAUAAUGGGUCAGCGACUUAUAUUCUGUAGCAAGGUUAACCGUAUAGGGGAGCCGCAGGGAAACCGAGUCUUAACUGGGCGUUAAGUUGCAGGGUAUAGACCCGAAACCCGGUGAUCUAGCCAUGGGCAGGUUGAAGGUUGGGUAACACUAACUGGAGGACCGAACCGACUAAUGUUGAAAAAUUAGCGGAUGACUUGUGGCUGGGGGUGAAAGGCCAAUCAAACCGGGAGAUAGCUGGUUCUCCCCGAAAGCUAUUUAGGUAGCGCCUCGUGAAUUCAUCUUCGGGGGUAGAGCACUGUUUCGGCUAGGGGGUCAUCCCGACUUACCAACCCGAUGCAAACUACGAAUACCGAAGAAUGUUAUCACGGGAGACACACGGCGGGUGCUAACGUCCGUCGUGAAGAGGGAAACAACCCAGACCGCCAGCUAAGGUCCCAAAGUCAUGGUUAAGUGGGAAACGAUGUGGGAAGGCACAGACAGCCAGGAUGUUGGCUUAGAAGCAGCCAUCAUUUAAAGAAAGCGUAAUAGCUCACUGGUCGAGUCGGCCUGCGCGGAAGAUGUAACGGGGCUAAACCAUGCACCGAAGCUGCGGCAGCGACACUAUGUGUUGUUGGGUAGGGGAGCGUUCUGUAAGCCUGCGAAGGUGUGCUGUGAGGCAUGCUGGAGGUAUCAGAAGUGCGAAUGCUGACAUAAGUAACGAUAAAGCGGGUGAAAAGCCCGCUCGCCGGAAGACCAAGGGUUCCUGUCCAACGUUAAUCGGGGCAGGGUGAGUCGACCCCUAAGGCGAGGCCGAAAGGCGUAGUCGAUGGGAAACAGGUUAAUAUUCCUGUACUUGGUGUUACUGCGAAGGGGGGACGGAGAAGGCUAUGUUAGCCGGGCGACGGUUGUCCCGGUUUAAGCAUGUAGGCUGGUUAUCCAGGCAAAUCCGGAUAAUCAAGGCUGAGGUGUGAUGACGAGGCACUACGGUGCUGAAGUAACAAAUGCCCUGCUUCCAGGAAAAGCCUCUAAGCAUCAGGUAACAUCAAAUCGUACCCCAAACCGACACAGGUGGUCAGGUAGAGAAUACCAAGGCGCUUGAGAGAACUCGGGUGAAGGAACUAGGCAAAAUGGUGCCGUAACUUCGGGAGAAGGCACGCUGGUGUGUAGGUGAAGCCCCUGCGGGUGGAGCUGAGACCAGUCGAAGAUACCAGCUGGCUGCAACUGUUUAUUAAAAACACAGCACUGUGCAAACACGAAAGUGGACGUAUACGGUGUGACGCCUGCCCGGUGCCGGAAGGUUAAUUGAUGGGGUUAUCCGUAAGGAGAAGCUCUUGAUCGAAGCCCCGGUAAACGGCGGCCGUAACUAUAACGGUCCUAAGGUAGCGAAAUUCCUUGUCGGGUAAGUUCCGACCUGCACGAAUGGCGUAAUGAUGGCGAGGCUGUCUCCACCCGAGACUCAGUGAAAUUGAACUCGCUGUGAAGAUGCAGUGUACCCGCGGCAAGACGGAAAGACCCCGUGAACCUUUACUAUAGCUUGACACUGAACAUUGAGCCUUGAUGUGUAGGAUAGGUGGGAGGCUUUGAAGCGUGGACGCCAGUCUGCGUGGAGCCAACCUUGAAAUACCACCCUUUAAUGUUUGAUGUUCUAACGUUGGCCCCUGACCGGGGUUGCGGACAGUGUCUGGUGGGUAGUUUGACUGGGGCGGUCUCCUCCCAAAGCGUAACGGAGGAGCACGAAGGUUAGCUAAUCCGGUCGGACAUCAGGAGGUUAGUGCAAUGGCAUAAGCUAGCUUGACUGCGAGCGUGACGGCGCGAGCAGGUGCGAAAGCAGGUCAUAGUGAUCCGGUGGUUCUGAAUGGAAGGGCCAUCGCUCAACGGAUAAAAGGUACUCCGGGGAUAACAGGCUGAUACCGCCCAAGAGUUCAUAUCGACGGCGGUGUUUGGCACCUCGAUGUCGGCUCAUCACAUCCUGGGGCUGAAGUAGGUCCCAAGGGUAUGGCUGUUCGCCAUUUAAAGUGGUACGCGAGCUGGGUUUAGAACGUCGUGAGACAGUUCGGUCCCUAUCUGCCGUGGGCGCUGGAGAAUUGAGGGGGGCUGCUCCUAGUACGAGAGGACCGGAGUGGACGCAUCACUGGUGUUCGGGUUGUCAUGCCAAUGGCACUGCCCGGUAGCUAAAUGCGGAAGAGAUAAGUGCUGAAAGCAUCUAAGCACGAAACUUGCCCCGAGAUGAGUUCUCCCUGAGACUUUAAGUCUCCUGAAGGAACGUUGAAGACGACGACGUUGAUAGGCCGGGUGUGUAAGCGCAGCGAUGCGUUGAGCUAACCGGUACUAAUGAACCGUGAGGCUUAACCUUACAACGCCGAAG